UAGCAUUAAAUGGCUCCUUUCUCUGCUUGAUUGUGCUACAUGAUGCUCCCCUACAAUGGUAGCGUGGACGUCUCGCUGAGAACUGAGAUUCUUGGAUGUAUCCUGUGGAGUCAUGUCAACAGCCAUUAACUAGCCAAAUCAUUAAGACGCAGUUGCACAGAAUUAAAGAAUUUGAAGAUGGGGAAGUUCCAACUUUAUGCAACAAGACGAAAUGACUGGGAAUAAAAGAGAAUGUUUCCUCUUUAAAGAUUCAUAAGAAACAUACAAUGUAUGGUUCCAUGAUAAUUCAAAGAUGUUCAAAUUUCUCAACUAUCAAGAAGUACGGAUCAAAACUACAACGAGAUACUGCGUCCAGAAUUGGUGGGUUCUUAGUCUCACUGACUUCAAGAAUGAAGCUGCGGACCCUCGUGGUGAGUGUUACAGUUCUUAAAGAUGGUGUGUCCG
rnacentral:lncRNA from 1 species